rnacentral:rRNA from 1 species
GACGAACGCUGGCGGCGUGCUUAACACAUGCAAGUCGAACGGAAAGGCCCUGCUUGCAGGGUACUCGAGUGGCGAACGGGUGAGUAACACGUGGGUGAUCUGCCCUGCACUUCGGGAUAAGCCUGGGCAACUGGGUCUAAUACCGGAUAGGAGACAUUUUUAGCGUGAUGGUUGGAAAGUUUUUUCGGGGUUGGGUGAGUCGGCGGGCUAUUGGCUUGUUGGGUGGGUAAUGGCCUACCAAGGCGGCGACGGGUAGCGGGCCUGGGGGAGUGGACGGCCACAUUGAGUCUGAGGUGCGGCCGAGGCUGGUAAGGGAGGCAGAAGUGGGGAAGAUUGCACAAGCGGCGCAGGGCGGGUGAAGCAGGGCCGCGGGGGGGAAGACGGCCUUCGGGUUGUAGACUACUUUCGCUAGGAACGAAGCUUUUUGUGACGGUACCUAGAUAAGAAGCACCGGCUAACUACGUG